UUUUAGUAAGUGGACUUAUUUGUGUUGUUUUCUUCAGGAGUGCAAUCUCCUUAAAAGCCAGAGGGCACAGUUAGUUUAACAGGGUUUGUAUGAGACAAUGGCUUCAGUAUGCAUCCUUUGGGCAAAUCCAUAGGACAUAGCAACCAGCUGGUAUUAUCAGGCUGAAGUGUGCCUAGGCAUCUCCCCUGAAAGGUAGUUACGUUCAGAAAAGCCCACUUUGUCAGGAACACAGGGCUGGCUGAGAAUCAUUUUCCACUGGCAGAGAAGCAGCAGCCCAGUCACAGACCUGAUUUGAGUUACCUUACUUCCCCUUCAUUGAGCCUGUGGCAGGAGCCAAAGCAGGCACACAGAGGACAUGGAGCUGGAGGUUUGGAAAUAUGUAAGGAAUAGCAAGCAAACUUGAAUUAUGAAGGAGACACGAGGCUGCUCAGGAAGGGAGGGAGAAAGGCAAUGGUUCACCAGGCGAAGCCUUCUGUGCUGCAGAAGAGGAGCAGAGGAGGCUGUGUGUGUACUCUUCCAGGAGCUGCUUAGGCUUCAGAGCCAUAAAUAAUCGCCUGUGCUCUUCUGCUGAGCCCAUGUGAGGAGAGGUUGAUACAGUCCCCUGCGAGCAAAGAUCUCACCUCCCUGACCCAGACAGAGGCCCAGAGCACCGAAUACACCAGGAAGAAGAGCCAGCUUGAAAGCACAGCCCACAGGAGGCAUGCCAGCUUUUCCUUACAGAGUGAAAAAGACAGAUCCAGCCUUGGGACCUGACACCCGGACAGUCAGCAUGACCAGACAAUGGUCUCACUCAUCUUUGGCUCCACACAGGAACCCCCAGUUUGCCCUCUGCACCUAGGGUAACCACCAGCAUGCCAAAGGAAUUAUGACUUUGGAACUACAGGGAAAACCCAUGAUGUUUACCUGAAUACUUUGACACCACAGGCUAUUUUAUUCUGAUUUAUUUCUCAGGACUGGUGUUUAGUAAUUUUACCAGUGCUGUUUUUUAUG